rnacentral:piRNA from 1 species
UUGCAGACAGAACAAUGCUCCUCUCUUC